CAUCCCCCCAUGAAGGCCAAGCCUUCCACAGCGCCCACAGCCAUCGACCGCGCUCCAGCUGCAGCUGCAGCCGCCCCUGGUAAAUCAGUAACUGGUGUGUGUGUGAGCCAGGCACUGAAUGUCCCAUGGGCAUCGCCAGCCAAGCGCGAGCGGACGCUCCCCGGUCCUUUGAGAAUGUUUGCAAGACUGCUGCUUGCACCAGAACUGAGCGCUCCCUGUGAUGUGUGUGGUGGAGGUGUGGGUUUGAAGCCCAGCAAGGCACGAGCUGUGCAGGGCUCUCAUUUGGAGCUCUGCUUCGUUCCCUGAGUGUGGCUCCAGGCUGUGCCCAGAGCAUCCCCAGGGCUGCAGCCCCAAUCUGGGCAGGGCUGUGCUGUGCAGGAGGACAUUGCGUCAGCUGCUCAGCCUGCAGAGUGGAGUUGGAGUGUGGGUCUGAUUGCUGCCUGUGAUACUCAUACAAACAAAGGAGGGGAGAGGAUCUGUGCCGGCCAGCAGAUAAUGCUGUCACAUGGAUAGGGGAAACAAGCCGUGAAUGUGUGGGCUAGAAAUUAGGCCAUUGUGCUCCAUGAUAUCAGAGAAGGAUCUGAAACAGCUUUCCAGGAAGAGGAAAGAGGAUGAGAGAAGGCCCAGAGGACAGAGCUUGGAAAAAUGACUUCAGAAGUGGCCCCUGGCUGCAGCAGCCCUGGCCCUGAGGACAGGGAGAGCAGCCCCACAACCCCAUUGUGGAGUUGGGCUUUCACCCCAUGCCAGGAGCCCUGUGUCCCACUUCCCCCUUCCUGCCCUUCCAUGCCUUGGGCCGCUUGUUUUCUUCAAGCCCUUUCCUCAUGCGCUGCCCUGGGUCCCACUGCCAUGGAUCCCAGCACCAUAGGUCCCAUCAUCCUGCUUCCCAUGGCCCUGGAUCCCACCACCCUGGGUCCCAGCACCCUUCUUCCCACUAUGCUGGGUCCCAUCACUCUGGAUCCCAUCACCCUGGGUCCCACUGCCAUGGGUCCCAUCACCAUAGGUCCCAUCAUCCUUCUUCCUACCACCAUGGAUCCCAAUGCCACAGGUCCUACCUCACUGUGCCCCACCACUCUGUGCCCCACCACUCUAUGUCCCAUCACUCUGGAUCCCACUGCCAUGGGUCCCAUCACCAUAGGUCCCAUCACUCUGGAUCCCACCACUCUGGAUCCCAUCACCCUUCUUCCCACCACCGUGAGUCCCAUUGCCAGGGGUCCUACCUCACUGUGCCCCACCACUCUAUGUCCUGUCACUCUGGAUCCCAUCACCCUGGGUCCCAUCACCCUUCUUCCCACCACGCUGGGUCCCAUCACCCUGGGACAUGAUCAGUGGGCACUGUGGGGGCAAGGUUGGGUGAUCUUAGAGGUCUUGUCCAACUGGAAUGAUUCCAUGAUUCAAUGAUUCCGUGACAUUGGGAGUGAUGAAGAGAGGCUGUAAUUAGGGGACAGAAGAGGUGGCUGCAGCAGCACUGCACCACCUCUCAUUGCAAUGGGUGUUGGGGUGUCCCAGUGGGUGGCUCUACGUGGGCUGUCACUUUGGUGCCAUGUGUGCCCUACUGCUGAGCAGUGAUUUCCUUUGGCAGAAGCGUUACUGAUCUGUCCCUGUCACUAUAAAAUCUCCCUGGGAGAUUUUAUGACUCUCUUUGAUGGCUUUUUACCCAUUUUUCCCGGCGUUGGGAUAAGACUCAUUGGAUUAUAAUUUCUGAGAUUUUGAGUCUUUUUUCAAGAUAAGUGAUUUUUUUUUCCCCCUUCAGCAGAGAAGUUGAUUUAAUAAGAGAAAAUGAAUGUGAAUGACUCUGCAAGUCUGUAAUGGAGA
ensembl:lncRNA